AAUAUUAAGGUGACAAGAAUGAGUAAAGGAAAGAACUCCCCCUGGUACACCUUGUUCUUAAGGUUGCUGUCUUCCUUCUUCAGUUCAUCUGCAGGGAGUGGAACUAAAUCGUUGCACACUGGGCCGGAGGUGGCAAUGGUAGCUGCUGCUAAGCAUUUCUCCUCUGCUCACAAAAUAAAAAUGGGCUAGCUUCCAUUGAUGAUGGAGGUCAUCUCUAUUAUUGCUUCCUUGUUGUUAAAAAUAGAAGUUAAAGGUUGUCCCAAGUGGGCCUCAAGAAUCAUUCGAAUUCAUUUUGAAAAUUUAAAUGGUUAGUGUUUAUGUUGAUUUGGAGGAAAAGGAUACACCUAAUCCUGGUGUGAAAAAGGAAGAAAAUGAAAUAAAUAUAAAGAAAAACACAAGUCUUAAAUUCAGACUUGUCAGAAGAAAAAUCAACAUUAGGUCCAAAUUUUGAAGGGAGAGGGGAAGCUAAAGUUUCUUGUGAGUGAGGAAAGUGGGCCUGGCCUAGCCUUGUGGUCAAAAUUCAAAACUCAAAAGAGAGCUCUUCUGUUCCUCUAAGAUUUCCUUCGUCACAAUCAACUCCCACACCCCCAAAUAUAAUAUAAGCUUGUAAGCAGAGAGGACGGAGGAUAGUGUUGGGAUAUUUAUAGGUGAAUGAAAAUUAAGGCAUAUAGUUUCAAUUAGACANCAACUCUUUCUAAUGGNNNNNNNNNNNNNNNNNNNNNNNNNNNNNNNNNNNNNNNNNNNNNNNNNNNNNNNNNNNNNNNNNNNNNNNNNNNNNNNNNNNNNNNNNNNNNNNNNNNNUUUUAAGCAGAGAGGACGGAGGAUAGUGUUGGGAUAUUUAUAGGUGAAUGAAAAUUAAGGCAUAUAGUUUCAAUUAGACACAACUCUUUCUAAUGGAUACAACUUGUGUCAAAGGAUAUGUCAAGUAUUUAAGACGCUCUUCUAAAAGUCACCAAAAAACCUAUAAAUAAGGCCCCAAUGACAUUUCUCAUUCAUUCCAUCAUCAAUUGAGUUCAAGUCAUUUAAGUGAUUCGUUGUUUUUUGUGAUUUUGAGUGCUACUAUUACAAGAAAGUAAUCAUUGUAUCUUGGGAGACGAUUGUCAACAAACCGUAAGCAUUAGUAUAAGGCAAAUUUGUCUUAAAGAUAUAAAGUCAAACUUUAGCCUCGAUCAACCGUUUGUAAAAUUCAAUAUUUACUUACCUUGUCAUUUAUUUAUUAUACAUAAUUAUUUGACCAUACAUUCUUGAUAAUUCAAGAAUAACAUAUAGAACCCAUAGGGCCAGACCCAAUAAGAAGAAAGGAAGCAGUGCUCACGGCUUAGCCAUUUACUUGGCUCGAAAGAGAGAGAAGAAGUUGUUUCCAUCUUUUCAUCUUUUCAAUUAAUAAGCAUUAGAAGUCAAGUUGGUGCACCUUAUUCUUGAGGUUGGUGUCUUUGUGUUGUGAGGAUCCAUGAAUUGAAGAGCCCAACAGCUGUGGGACGCACCCUCCCAGAGGCAGCCAUGGUUGCUGCUCCUAAGCAUCUCCUCUCCUCAUAAAAUCCCAAUAUGCUAGCUUCACAGGCCUGAUCGAGAUUUUGUGCUUCAGUUUUUUUUUUUCCCAAAAAUUUCAAGCAUUAAUAGUAAACACAAUUCAAAAUUUUAUUAAUUCGAGGAUCGGCUAUAAUUUCUAUCUUUCUUGAACUCUUAUUUUUGUACACCAAAGGAAAUAUCGCCUACUUGAUGUUUGCUUUGAAAUUAGAACAUCUUUCAAAUUAAAAGCUUUUGGGACUUUAUGAAUGACUUUGAAUGUGCUCUUCAUAGACUUCAAAUCUUCAAACUUUUUCUCCCUUAACUUAUUUUAAAGUUGAGAGAGAAUAUUGAAUGACGUAUUUAUAAUGUUUUGUAAAACAAAAGUAUAUUGGUAAUUUAAAAUAUUUUUAAUCAUAUUUUAAAAAUAAUUUUUAUUUGUAAUAUUUUAUUUUUAAUUAUUAUUCAUAUUUAUAUAAUUAUUUUUUAAAAAUAAUUCUCAAAAGAACAAGUCAAAAUUAUCAAAAACAAUUAAAAGAUAUUUUUGAAAAUAAUAUAUUUUUAAUUUUUAAAGAGUAGAAAAUUAUUUUCAAAAAAUAAUUGUCAAAUAAGGUCAUAUAGAUUUUUUUAUUGACAUUGUACUAAAUAAACUAGAAAGAAUUCUUUAUAGUUUAUUUACUAUCAAUGUGUGUUAUUCCUAAACUCUACAUAUUAUGAAAUUCUUUAAUGUAAUACCUACUAUCUUUUACUUUUUCCUGAUCAAGGACUUUCGUAAUUCCUUUACCGUAUUUAUUUGACUAAUACAUUAUAUAGUAUAUUGUUUAAACUAUCAAAGAUCUUGUUUAUGCAUAUGCGAUAAAAAUGAUUCCAAGUUUCGGAACUUCCUAUUUGGGCAUUACUUUCACCCUCAUUUGAAACGAGGGCAUCUUCGUAUAAGACUUCAGCAAGAUUUCGAGUUGAAAAGUAGAAUAAUAUUUUUUGUCAAAACCUCUUGAAGUCCAUUCCAAUUAUAAACCUCUAGCCUCUCACCAUAAGCAACAUGCCAUGAUGAUUAAAUAAUAAAAAUAAAUUUGUUAUAAGACUAUUGUAAAUUAUGAAAAGUAUAUAGACUAAUAAUUGUAUAAAAUAAAUAAAGCAAAUAGAAAUUAAUUCACAAAUAAGGUUGAUGAGUUUGACUUCGUAUCCUUAAGACGAAUUUGCCCGAUUUAGGUACUUGUUUAGUAGUAAUUGUCUCUUAAGAUACAAUGAUUAUUUACUUCAAAUCACUCAAUGUUCUAUGCUCUGGAAAAAUCUUGAAUCAAGGUUUCAAUUCAUCUUGUAUGAGAAGCCUGUCAUUGUUAACUGGGCCUUUUGACUAUUGACAUGGUGAGGUGCCCAAGCUCCAUAAAAGAUAGAGAUACAUCUGAGUCCUGUAUGACCUCUAAUCAGAUAUUUUGAGCUUCUGAUCUCCAAUCUCUGUGUUUUUUUUUUCUUGUUGGGGUUACCUCAACGUUGGAUGACGACACACAACUGGGCUUUGGAUGAUGGGCCAUAUCGAUCUCGAUUGAGACAAAUCACAUGAUUUUUGAGGUAAAUGGUAGUCUAAACUUUCUUGUUGAACAAGAGGGUCAGAAAAGUACGGCGGUCAAAAGCGAAGUCCCACGAGUUUCUGAGCUGUUUCCCUUUCUAGUCUUGAGCCUCCAAUACAAGCUUGAAACCCAAGAAAUCUCAGCUAUAUAAACAGCAGAGAACAUAGAAUCCAAUCACAAGAAGCAAGCAAACUACCAAGAAGUUGAGUACUCGCCCAUCUACUUGCUCCAAUCAGUGAGAAGAAUUGUCUCAUCAUCUGUCCAUUUUUCUGUGUUUAGGAAAUAUUAAGGUAGACAAGAAUGAGUAAUGGAAAGAACUCCGCCUGGUACACCUUGUUCUUAAGGUUUCUGUCUUCCUGCUUCAGUUCAUCUGCAGGGAGUGGAACUAAAUCCUUGCACACUGGGCCAGAGGCGGCAAUGAUAGGUGCUGCUAAGCAUUUCUCCUCUGCUCACAAAAUAAAAAUGGGCUAGCUUCCAUUGAUGAUGGGCAGUUUUUCAGGAGUAAUGCUAGUGUCUCUGGAUGAUGAAGUCUCUCCUAUAAGAUCCCAUGUACAAAUGCUCUAUCUCAUUGGAUGUGUCUGAGAAUGAUCAAUGCAGAGGUUGAAUAACUGCAAAUUUUGGGUUAGGAAUGGCCUAGCCACCAUUCCCAAUCCUCCCAAUUUCGCAGACACAGGAAGAAUCAUAUAAUCUUCCUAAAAACACUCAUGGGUGCAGGUUGAUUUUUCUGUUGUUGAAAUUUCAAAUUGUUUUAGGAGGCAUUGUAUAGCAGUUUGUAUUUGAAUUGUUGUGAUACUUUUCUACCCUUUGUGAAUAAACAUUUCAUAUUUAUUAAAAAGCCUUCCAAUUCAUUUUGAAAUUUUAAAUGGUAAGUGUUUAUGUUGAUUUGAAGGAAAAGCAUACCCUAAUCCUGGUCUUAAAAAGUAAGAAAGAAAAUCACAAGCAUUAAAUUCAGACUUGUUAAAAGAAAAGUCAACAUUAGGUCCACAUUUUGAAGGCACAGGGGAAGCUAAAACUGCUUGUGAGAGAGGCAAGUGGGCCUGGCCUGGCCUAGCAUUGUGGUCAAACUCAAAACUCAAAAGAGGUCUUCUGUUUUUGAACUAUUUCCUUUGUCACAGUCCAAGAGCCAUCACCCAAGUAUUGGGGUAAAAAUUCACGCAUAGUACGAAUUGUAACUCUUGGAAUUCAUGCAUAUAGCCUAUCCUUUUGAAGUCCUAAACUCCUAACUAUGAAAUUCUCUAAUCAAUAUCCUCUAUCUUAUAUUUUUCCUUGAGGAUUCUCAUAGUUCCUUUACAAUGAGCAAGAUUUAGAUGGUAUUUGUUUUUUUACUUAAUUCUAAAUAGAACGUUAAUGCUUAAUAGUGUUAAAUAUUAUAUUGUUUGUUUUUGUAAUAUUUUAUUUCUAUUAAGUAUUAAAAAGUAAAAAAAAUUAAUAUGUUAUUUUUUCUAUUUAGAAAAAAGCUACAUAUUUUGGUGUGUUUGUUUUUUUACUUAAUUCUAAAUAGAACCUUAAUGCUUAAUAGUGUUAAUAUUAGGUUGUUUAUUUUUGUAGUAUUUUAUUUCUAUUAAGUAUUAAAAAGUAAAAAAAACCAAUAUGUUAUUUUUUCUAUUUAGAAAAAGUUACAUAUUUUGGUUUUUUCUAUUUAGUAAAAAGUUUAUAAUAAGUCAUGAAAAAGUAGAAAAACAAACAAUUUAAAUUCUAAAACUAAAUUGCUUUUAUAAAAAAGUCAAAAAAACAAACACCAUAUUGAUUUUUUUAUUUAGUAAAAAGUUUAUAAUAAGUUAUGAAAAAAUAGAAAAACAAACAACUUAAAUUCUAAAACUAAAUCACUUUCAGUAAAAAGCCAGAAAAACAAAUACCACCUUGUGAGGUAGCACAACAUUCUUUGUUGCCAGUUCUUCAAGUUCAUUUUACUAAACUUUUCUAGCUUUUCACCAUAAACAGCCAAAGUAAUCAAAUAGUAAAAAUGAAUUUGUUAGAAGACUGUUAAAAAUGAAUUUGAGGUAAAUGACAGUCUAAAUUUUCUUGUUAAACAAGAAAGUCAGAAAAGGAUGGUGGUCAAAAGCGAAGUCUUCCCAGUUUCUGAGCUAUUUCCUUUUCCACGGUCUUGAGUCCGCUGCCCACAUGCUCAAAUACAAGCUUGAACCCCAAGAAAUCUCAGCUAUAUAAACAGCAGAGAACAUGGAAGCCAAUCACAAGAAACAAGCAAACUACCAAGAAGUUGAGUACUCGUCCAUCUACUUGCUCCAAUCAGUGAGAAGAAUUGUCUCAUCAUCUGUCCAUUUUUCUGAGUUUAGAAAAUAUUAAGGUAGACAAGAAUGAGUAAAGGAAAGAACUCCGCCUGGUACACCUUGUUCUUAAGGUUGCUGUCUUCCUUCUUCAGUUCAUCUGCAGGGAGUGGAACUAAAUCCUUGCAUACUGGGCCGGAGGCAGCAAUGGUAGCCGCUGCUAAGCAUUUCUCCUCUGCUCACAAAAUAAAAAUGGGCUAGCUUCCAUUGAUGAUGGGCGGUUUUUCAGGAGUAAUGCUAGUCUCUCUGGAUGAUGAAGUCUCUCCUACAAGAUCCCAUGCACAAAUUCUCUAUCUCGUUGAGAAUUUUCAAUGCAGAAGUUGAACAACUGCAGAUUAGAUAUCAACCAUGUUGGCAGAUUUCGGGUUGGUAAUUAAUGAUCUACUACCCAGCAGUCCAAUCAUGCCAAUUUCCAGAAAGAAAGAGGAAGAAUCAUAUAAUCUUCCUAAAUACACUUAUGGAUACAAGUUGAUUUCAGGCUUUGUUUAGCAGUUUGUAUUUGAAUUGUUGUCAUACUUUUCUACUCUUUGUGAAUAAAUAUUUCAUAUUUAUUAAAAACCUUCCACAUUUGUCCAAGCCAAGCCUUUACUCCAAGCAGGAGGUUUAUGAUUUUAAAUAGUAAGUGCUUAUGCUGAUUUGGAGGAUAAGGAUAACCUAAUCCAGGUGCGAAGAGGAAAAUAAAAUAAGAAAAACACAGAAGCUUAAAUUCAGACUUGUCAAAGAUAAGUCAAUACUAGGUCCGCAUUUUGAAGGUAGAAGGGAAGCAAAGUUGGUUUGUAACUUGUGAGAGAGGAAAUUGGGCCUAGCCUAGCAUUGUCGUCAAAACUCAAAAGAGAGCUCCUGUUUCUCAACCAUUUCCUUUGUCACGAUCCAAGAGCCAUCACCCAAGUAUUCUGGUCAAAGACGGAAGUCCUCAGUUUCUCCACUGUCUCUAUAUCUCAGUUCACAAUCAACUCCCACACCCCCAAAUAUCAUGUAAGAUUCAAUGAGUGAGCUUAUGAGAAGUCAAGUUGGCGCACCUUAGUCAAGUUAGCAGCAGCCAUGGUCGCUGCUGGCUGCUGUUAAGCAUCUCUUUCUCUCAUAAAUUCCGGAUAUGGUAGCAUAGCAGUCACGAGGUCCUUUUAAGGACCGUGGAAAUACCAUACCUCCGUUUUAAUAGACGUGAUGAGAUUUUGUGGUUCAGGAUUCCAAGCAUUAAUAGUAAACACAUAAUGGUCAGUUGAUUCUAAAAUUUUAUUCAUUUGAGGAUAUUGGUUAUAAUUUAUACCUUUUUUGUACUCUUAUUUUCCUACACUAAAAGUAAUAACACCUACUUGAUGUUUAAUUACUUUCGAAUCAAAAGCUUUUGGGACUUUAUGAUUGGCUUUGAAUCUGUUGUUCACAGCUUUCAAAAACAAUUUUGAAAAACUAGUUUUUAAGCACAAUUUUUAAAAACUAUUUUAUAAUUUAAAUAUAUUUUGGGUUUAUGAUUUCCAAUCCCAUAAUCUAUGUAUUUUUAGAAUUACCUUUUGUCUCCAUGAUGAUACAUGAUUCAAUGAUUCAAUGUGCUAGUGGUGCAUGGUGAGCUAGUGCAUGUUUGAAUUAUUUGCUGGAACUGGGUGUCUUUUUCUUUGUUUUUUGAGGUUGCCUCAAUGUUGGAUGACUGGAUAAUGGGCCUUAUCGAUCUCAAUUAACACAAAUCACAUACUGUUUGAGGUAAAUGUUGGUCUAAUUUUCUUGUUGAACAAGUCAGAAAAGUAUGGUGGUCAAAAGCGAAGUCCCACAAGCUUCUGAGCUAUUUCCUUUUCCAGUCUUGAGCCUCCAAUACAAGCUUGAACCCCAAGAAAUCUCUUUUAUAUAAACGGCAGAGAACAUGGAAUCCAAUCACAAGAAGCAAGCAAACCACCGAAAAGUUAAGAGUACUCUCCCAUCUACUUGCUAGAACCAGUGAGAAGAAUUGUCUCAUCUUUCCAUUUUUCUGGGUUUAGUUAAUACUAAGGUAGACAAGAAUGAGUAAAGAAAAGAACUCCGCCUCGUCCACCAUGUUCUUAAGGUUGCUGUCUUCCUUCUUCAGUUCGUCUCCGGGGAGUGGUAAGUUGAAGAGUUCAAGAAGUACAUCCUUACACACCGGGCCGGAGGCAGCAAUGGUAGCUGCUGCUAAGCAUUUCUCCUCUGCUCACAAAAUAAACUUGGGCUAGCUUCCAUUGAUAAUGGGCAGUUUGUCAGGAGUAAUGCCAGUCUCCCUGGAUGAUGAAGUCUCUCCUAUAAGAUCCGAUGCACAAAUGCUCUAUCCCAUUGGAUGUGUGCGAGAAUUUUCAAGGCAGAAGUUGAAUAACUGCAGAUUAGAUAUCAAACAUGUUGGUUCAUUUUGGGUUGGUAAUGGUCUACUACCCAGCAGUCCAACCCUGCCAAUUUCGCAGAAAGAAAGAGGAAGAAUCAUAUAAUCUUCCUAAAAGCACUUAUGGGUGCAAGUUGAUUUUAGGCUUUGUUUGGGAGUUUGUAUUAAUUUGAAUUGUUGUAAUACUUUUCUACUUUUUUCAAUAAAUAUUUUAUCUUUAUUAAAAAGCCUUCUACAUUUGUCUAAGCUUUUACUUUUCUUCAAAUACGUAAAG
rnacentral:lncRNA from 1 species